UGGGGAAUCUUGCACAAUGGAGGAAACUCUGAUGCAGCGACGCCGCGUGGACGACGAAGCCCUUCGGGGUGUAAAGUCCUUUCGACCGGAACGAUAAUGACGGUACCGGUGGAAGAAGCUGCGGCUAACUACGUGCCAGCAGCCGCGGUAAUACGUAGGCAGCAAGCGUUGUUCGGAAUUACUGGGCGUAAAGAGUUCGUAGGCGGUGCGGCAAGUUUGGUGUGAAAUCUCCCGGCUCAACUGGGAGGGUGCGCUAAAUACUGCCGUGCUCGAGUAUAGGAGAGGUAAGCGGAAUUCCUGGUGUAGCGGUGAAAUGCGUAGAUAUCAGGAGGAACACCUGUGGUGUAGACGGCUUACUGGACUAUAACUGACGCUGAGGAACGAAAGCGUGGGUAGCAAACA
rnacentral:rRNA from 1 species